rnacentral:rRNA from 1 species
UACGGAGGGUGCAAACGUUGCUCGGAAUUAUUGGGCGUAAAGCGCACGUAGGCGGCCCAGCAAGUCGGAUGUGAAAUCCCUACAGCUUACCUGAGGGCGUGCAUUCGAAACUGCUAGGCUUGAAUAUGGGAGAGGGUCGCGGAAUUCCCGGUGUAGAGGUGAAAUUCGUAGAUAUCGGGAGGAACACCAGUGGCGAAGGCGGCGACCUGGACCAAUAUUGACGCUGAGGUGCGAAAGCGUGGGGAGCAAACAGG